GGCCCCAUCGUCUAGUGGCCUAGGACACAGGAUUUUCAGUCCUGUUACUGGGGUUCGAAUCCCCAUGGGGUCAUCA
rnacentral:tRNA from 1 species